rnacentral:rRNA from 1 species
UUGAAAGGGAAACGAUUGAAGUCAGUCGUACCGACGCAGAAUCAACCUUUGGAGUGCGAGUCGAGGUAUUCGAGGAGUUUAAAAGCCCUUGUGUGCUUCCGUAUCGUGCUUCUUGGGUGCUUUUCUUCGUAUGGUAGGUUAACAUCAAUUUUGGACGUUACAAAAUGACUGGGGGAAUGUAGCUUCGAUUUUUCGAAGUGUUAUAGCCCUUUGUAGAUGUGACGACCGGGAUUGAGGAUUGCAACGAACGCUUUCGGGCUAUCCGUCUGACCUCUGGUGGUUGCUUUGGGGUCGAAAGCGUGCUUACGGCUUUAAAGUUGGCUAUCAAAAAGCUAGAACGUGAUUAAAUUCGUUAAGGAUGUUGACGUA